GGCCUGAGAGGGCGACCGGCCACACUGGGACUGAGACACGGCCCAGACUCCUACGGGAGGCAGCAGUGGGGAAUAUUGCACAAUGGGCGAAAGCCUGAUGCAGCGACGCCGCGUGAGGGAUGACGGCCUUCGGGUUGUAAACCUCUUUCAGCAGGGAAGAAGCGAAAGUGACGGUACCUGCAGAAGAAGCGCCGGCUAACUACGUGCCAGCAGCCGCGGUAAUACGUAGGGCGCAAGCGUUGUCCGGAAUUAUUGGGCGUAAAGAGCUCGUAGGCGGCUUGUCACGUCGGUUGUGAAAGCCCGGGGCUUAACCCCGGGUCUGCAGUCGAUACGGGCAGGCUAGAGUUCGGUAGGGGAGAUCGGAAUUCCUGGUGUAGCGGUGAAAUGCGCAGAUAUCAGGAGGAACACCGGUGGCGAAGGCGGAUCUCUGGGCCGAUACUGACGCUGAGGAGCGAAAGCGUGGGGAGCGAACAGGAUUAGAUACCCUGGUAGUCCACGCCGUAAACGGUGGGCACUAGGUGUGGGCAACAUUCCACGUUGUCCGUGCCGCAGCUAACGCAUUAAGUGC
rnacentral:rRNA from 1 species